rnacentral:rRNA from 1 species
AUCGAACGCUGGCGGCAGGCCUAACACAUGCAAGUCGAACGAGUGGCGGACGGGUGAGUAAUGUCUGGGAAACUGCCCGCUGGAGGGGGAUAACUACUGGAAACGGUAGCUAAUACCGCAUACCAUCGGAUGUGCCCCGAUGGGAUUAGCUAGUAGGUGGGGUAACGGCUCACCUAGGCGACGAUCCCUAGCUGGUCUGAGAGGAGGACCGGCCACAUGGGAACUGAGACACGGUCCAGACGCCUACGGGAGGCAGCAGUGGGGAAUAUUGGGCAAUGGGGGCAAGCCUGAUGCAGCCAUGCCGAGUGUAUUAAGAAGGCCUUCGGGUUGUAAAGUACUUUCAGCGGGGAGGCGUUACUCGCAGAAGAAGCACCGGCUAACUCCGUGCCAGCAGCCGCGGUAAUAC